UCUAGUUUAGCAUAUAUUUAAUGCGAAAGAUUGUAAAUCUUUUUAAAUUUUUACGGUAUUA
rnacentral:tRNA from 1 species